rnacentral:tRNA from 1 species
GCCUGGGUGGCUCAGUGGUUGAGCGUCUGCCUUUGGCUCAGGUCCUGAUCCUGGGGUCCUGGGAUCGAGUCCCACAUCGGGCU